rnacentral:rRNA from 1 species
UACGUAGGGGGCGAACGUUGUCCGGAUUCAUUGGGCGUAAAGAGCUCGUAGGCGGCUUGGCAAGUCGGAUGUGAAAACUCCAGGCUCAACCUGGAGCCGCCAUUCGAUACUGCUAUGGCUAGAGUCCGGUAGGGGAGUGUGGAAUUCCCGGUGUAGCGGUGAAAUGCGCAGAUAUCGGGAGGAACACCGAUGGCGAAGGCAGCACUCUGGGCCGGUACUGACGCUGAGGAGCGAAAGCGUGGGGAGCGAACAGG